rnacentral:rRNA from 1 species
GACGAACGCUGGCGGCGUGCUUAACACAUGCAAGUCGAACGGAAAGGCCCUGCUUUUGUGGGGUGCUCGAGUGGCGAACGGGUGAGUAACACGUGAGUAACCUGCCCUUGACUUUGGGAUAACUUCAGGAAACUGGGGCUAAUACCGGAUAGGAGCUCCUGCUGCAUGGUGGGGGUUGGAAAGUUUCGGCGGUUGGGGAUGGACUCGCGGCUUAUCAGCUUGUUGGUGGGGUAGUGGCUUACCAAGGCUUCGACGGGUAGCCGGCCUGAGAGGGUGACCGGCCACAUUGGGACUGAGAUACGGCCCAGACUCCUACGGGAGGCAGCAGUGGGGAAUAUUGCACAAUAGGCGGAAGCCUGAUGCAGCAACGCCGCGUGCGGGAUGACGGCCUUCGGGUUGUAAACCGCUUUCGCCUGUGACGAAGCGUGAGUGACGGUAAUGGGUAAAGAAGCACCGGCUAACUACGUG